UACGGGGGGGGCAAGCGUUGUUCGGAAUCACUGGGCGUAAAGGGUGCGUAGGCGGGUCUUUUAAGUCAGGGGUGAAAUCCUGGAGCUCAACUCCAGAACUGCCUUUGAUACUGAGGAUCUUGAGUUCGGGAGAGGUGAGUGGAACUGCGAGUGUAGAGGUGAAAUUCGUAGAUAUUCGCAAGAACACCAGUGGCGAAGGCGGCUCACUGGCCCGAUACUGACGCUGAGGUGCGAAAGCGUGGGGAGCAAACAGG
rnacentral:rRNA from 1 species